CUACGGGAGGCAGCAGUGGGGAAUAUUGGACAAUGGGGGCAACCCUGAUCCAGCGACGCCGCGUGUGUGAAGAAGGCCUUCGGGUUGUAAAGCACUUUUGUUCGGGAAGAAAUCGUGCGGAUUAAUACUUCGUACGGAUGACGGUACCGAAAGAAUAAGCACCGGCUAACUUCGUGCCAGCAGCCGCGGUAAUACGAAGGGUGCAAGCGUUACUCGGAAUCACUGGGCGUAAAGCGUGCGUAGGCGGUUGGUUAAGUCUGCUGUGAAAGCCCUGGGCUCAACCUGGGAACUGCAGUGGAUACUGGCCAGCUAGAGUGUGAUAGAGGAUGGUGGAAUUCCCGGUGUAGCGGUGAAAUGCGUAGAGAUCGGGAGGAACACCAGUGGCGAAGGCGGCCAUCUGGAUCAACACUGACGCUGAGGCACGAAAGCGUGGGGAGCAAACAGGAUUAGAAACCCUGGUAGUCC
rnacentral:rRNA from 1 species